CCCUUUUGCCUUUAAUGCUGAUCCUAAGCUAUACAGGCUCAGACAAGCCAUACACAGCCCUUCAGUAAAUUAAUUGUGAUCUUCCACAUGCAGCACUCUCAACAUCCCAUCUGCUAAUUCAACUCCCAGCAACUAUAUUCAAGGUUUUCUACUGAAAAAAAAGCUCCUUGAGACAACAGCAUGGAACCAGCUUCAUGUUUCCAUUGAAGACAAAACUACACUAGCUCAUACAGCAGAGGAUUAUAAAGUCUAUCAGAGAUACUGUGCAUCAGAGUUUCCAGAGUGGUGUAUUAUCCUUGUUCCUCUUCAAAACUAACAUCCACCUAAGCAACUCUGCAUCUUGGCUAAGGGCCGACCAUGUUCUCAGCCCAAGGCAGGGAAAAGAAAGGCUCAGGACUGCUCCCAAGAAACUGCCAUCACAGAGGAGGCAUUGACAGCCUCAUGAAACCCAUGGGAAGGCGAGGUCUUCAGCUAUCACAGAUCUACAGCUCUGAUUCAUUACUCGACAGCAUCCUCACUGGAAGAAAGAUGUGGACUUGGAAAAAGAGAGUCUUGAGGGUGAUUGAAAAAAAUAAAAGGUGACAUUAAUCUGGCUCUGCACAGUGCUAAGAGAGCCUUCUCUGACACCCUGCCAGGUAUGUUCAAUGCGAGGGUAGGACUGGAGAGUCAGUUGUGAGAACAGUAUUUUAAUACUCAAAUGCCCUGAACCAGCCAUAGCCCCCAGUGACCUUUCCCCAUGACGACUUCUGGGCCUGGCCGUUAAAAAAAAGAAAUGUGCUGCAUUCAGAGAUGUUUGUGUAGGGGUACAAAGAUGGGAACAACGUCUUCUGCAGAACCAGUGGAUGUCAGCUCAGGGGUGUGGAAACUGGGAGCAGCACAUCUGGUUUCAGAGAUGUUCAUUGUGUUCCAUCAAUAGUGAUUUUCAGGAUUUCUGAUGCAUUUUUGCUUUGGCUUCAUCUUGACCCUUUCCCAUGAAUUCUCUUGCUUUUUUCUACUCUUCUUCAGCAUAACAGAAAUAAGCAUUGUGUUUGGUUUUCGAAUGUAAUGAAUCGUUCGAACUCGCCAACAACAAAACCUUAUUCCUUGGGAAAAAAAUCAUUAGAAAUAAAAAAUGAAACAUUUUUAAUGAUCAAAAGCACUCAGCAUCUCUGACUGAUGUAAUUUGGAGCCUUCCCACAGACACUGAUUUCAUUUAUAGCUGGACUAAGGGCAGGAAGACAUGCAUAGGGGUUAAAUCACCUUUUUUUUUUUUCACAUCUGUGACUUGUUGAAAAGUGAUAUAGAACAUGGGAGACAGAGAGAAGGACUAAAUAAUUACUUGAAUAGAUAAAUUAAUGGUGAUAUGUUUAAAUAGAUAGGAUGGGUUAUCAAGAACUUCAUAACGGCUUGCUGGAGGUAUUUAAGACUCUCAGUCCAUUUAUAAAUAUCAUUUUCUAUUUGACAACAGGAACAAUAUAUCAUCUCUUAUCAGAAGACGGUACAUGAGUAGGACCAGGAGGGUCUACAUUUAUGUUUUAUUGACAGUACCUCACUAAACAUAGCACCUUGAUAUGUAUGAAACAAAAAUUUCUUCAUUUUAAUUUUACUGCUGGAUAGAGGGAAGGCUGCCCUAACAUCAGUAAAACUGUGAAAUAUCUUUUUACGUACAGCUAUCUAAUACUAAUAACACUCACUGAGUAUCAAGGUAAAAAUGUGUUUGCUCUUCUGACUCCAUUUUUAAAGAAGGUACUUCACAGUAAGAAAUUAUUUUCAUCCAUUUGCACGAUUUUGACAAUCUGGUUCCCUGUCUCUCUCCCAAAUUGUUCUACUGUGAUCCAUGGGAUAGAAACACAGUGUCUCUCUAUGUAUCCAUGCAUUUUCUUCUUCCAGCACAUAUUCCAAAGUGAUCUUGUUUCAUAAGUAAAUAACCUCUAAAACAUCUAUUAUUAUUCUUGCUAUUCUGUGUUUGCUAUCUGACAUUACUUCAUAACCCACUGAGUUUAUUAGGGGAUUUUUAAAAGGCGUUUCUGGAAAGGCUGGUCAGAUGUAAUUCCACUGGACUGAAAGAAAUACUUUUUGACUUUGUGCUGUUCUGUGUUAAAGCCAAAUUCAUGUCUGGAUAGAUGUUGUUUCUUAUUUUUGGCAGAUAAGACACUGAUAAAACAAUACUACUGUCUCUGCAUUCCUCAUACUUAGGGAUCAGUGGUUUAGCAAGGCCUUACUAACAUGCUGUUAUUUGUCUCUAAGAAGCACACCGUAGAUGACAGAACCAAUGUGAGAAUUUAGUGUUGUGGAUCCUAAGCUCUUUUUCAUUACAAAUACGAAUUGGUGAUUAUUCUGAAAUCUUUGCACUGCGACUGUAUUUACCUUCGCAUUUUAGAUUUUAUUUUCCUUGUAUCUACAUAUUUUCUUUGUAUUCAUCCUUUACACCAAGGGUGCAUUUGCUUUUAUUUCCAUCUAAAUGACGGUUUCCCUUGUAUGAAGUGGUUUUGAGCUCUUCUGUAGAUACAAAGUGAAACUUCUUAUUUAUCUAGAUGGUAGUAAAUAAUGCCUUCUUAGGGAAACUGGAUUCAUGGACCGAAUCUACUGAAUAAUUAUUAUUGCCAAUAAACUAAUCUUUAUCUUA